UACGAGUGCCCCGAGCGUUAUCCGGAAUUAUUGGGCGUAAAGGGUGCGUAGGCGGUUUUGUUAGUCUUGUGUUAAAGCUCCCGGCUUAACCGGGAAAGUGCAUGAGAUACGGCAAAACUAGAGGAUGCGAGAGGUAUGCGGAACUCAUAGUGUAGGGGUGAAAUGCGUAGAUAUCGGGAGGAACACCAGUGGCGAAGGCGACUACCUGGCCUGUUCUUGACGCUGAGGCGCGAAAGCUAGGGGAGCAAACGGG
rnacentral:rRNA from 1 species